GGGGGUGUUUGGGAGGGGUGCUAAAUUUUAGCACCCCCAUUUUAGUCACUUUUAGCCCCUCCUCCUCCCAAACACCUAGGCUAAAAUGGAGGGGCUAAAUUUUAGCCCCCCAUAAUCCAUUAGCCCUCCAAGAGGUGCUAAAAUGGACUAGAAGUGCUAAAAGUGGUCCCCCUCCUCCAUUUUUCCACCGGUACCCUCCCCUCUUUCCUCCCCCGCGCUCCUCUCUCUC
rnacentral:lncRNA from 1 species